rnacentral:lncRNA from 1 species
CAUGUCUUGAAACUCAAGCUUAAUUACUUCUCUGGGGCUUGUUUAUUUCAUCAUCUCCAGGGUUUGGAAUUUGACCUGUGAAGUCUGAGUGUCCAUUGAAUUUAUUAUUACACCUUCUUACUAAUCAGGCAUACUUUCUUGAUAGAAAAGUACAUCUGCCAUAGUACCUCCUAACAAUAUCACCUUCAAAUGUUAAGUCAUAAGAUAAGGAAAACCAUGAAAAGGGGGAAGCUAAUUUCAUGGAGGUGUGGUCAGAGAAGCUACUGGGUACAUGGUUGCAAGAAGAAAUUCCACCAGCCAGGGAGCAAGCAGCGACUCCUUUGGGAGAAACAGGGGCAGUCUACAGAGCCAACUUGGCUUCUCACUCAUUUCAUGCUCACUCUAAAACCUUCCUUCAGCCCUCCUGGGGGGAGAGUCCCUGCUGACUGUUUGUUCAUUUUUAAAGGCAGCUUUCCUUGGCAGCCAUCUCAACAAGGAAUCCGGAGCCAAUGCAAUGAACCAUUAUUCUGGAGUAGUUCAGUGUUCUCUCACUCUGCAGGAGUUUUAAGUUUUCUAUCCUAUACAUGCUGCCACAGAUCCCAAGAAAGGUGUGCAUGCUACGAACUGAAUUCUUUCAACUUUCUGGGAACUCUAUUUUUUUUUCUGCCACCUACCAUUCCAAAUUUCAAUUUUAUUUGUUACUAGUGCAAUUGUAAUUGUAGUCCCAUAAACCAAAGCCAUCCUCUCUCUAUCUUUCCUCAGUCCAAGAUGAGCAGCUUUCCUUCCUUAACUACCAAGGUCCACAAGUAUGUCUCCCUCUAGUCUUCACAACAUCUAGAGCUUUUCUCCUUAAAACUUCUUCCCACGUGUCACUAAAAUCAUUUCCAGACUAACCUGUAAAAUCCUCCCCUCUACUCCUGCACCAACCAGAGUUAGUUACUUAUGGGAGAAUGAAGGCAAUUCCGUGGCUACACCACAAAUUCCCAGUCUCUAAACUUAAAAACUUGUAUAAUUACAAGUAUCAGCUACUGUAGACAUUUGUAGAAGCCUCAAAUCCUGCUACAAGUACAUAGGAUUUUCAUGUGUGUUUCAGUUAAAGCACAAUGUUCCAUAAGAAAAACUAACCUGAGUUUUCAGCCCACUGAAUUUUCCAAAUCUUGAUAUUCCCAUGUAUACUGAUGCCAGAAGCAGACAAACAAAUAUGAUUAACCACCUACAAACCCACUGUGCUUCCCAGACUCCCACACUCCUGCAUUAAAACAAUACAGAUUAUACUGCAAUUUCUUUUCAUUUCUCUAGCUUCUGUGCUUUAAAAAAUACAUUAUAUACUCACGCCCAUGGCUUCUGUAAUUCAACACUAUUCCUGGGAUUCGUCCAUGCUGUUUGAUGAAGCUUUGUCCUUCCUAUUGCUGCAUUUCAUUGCUCAUCUAUUGUACUAUUGAUGGAAAUUUGGCAAGCUUCUGAUUUGGAAGUAUUUAAAAAUGAACUGUUGUAAAAAUUUAAGACAGGUCUUAGUAAGCUUAGCUGGGCAUUUCUAAUUGAUGUACACUUGAUAGCAAAAUUGCUAUAUGUCAAUGCAUAAUAGUUAUAUCUUAGCAUAUGCAUACAAACUGUGGCUGAUUCAUGACUAGAUGGUGACAAAACACUCCUUGAAUUGAUUGCAUUAAUUGACACAGUUUGGCAUGAUGCUGUAGUACAAUUUGCCCCCUUGCAGAGGUGUAUCUGAGGCUGUAUAAUUUUUGAAGAAUGGACUUAUUUUUCAAAGGUUUUUUUCUUUUUUUCUUUUAUUUUGCUUUUUUUUUCUUUCUUUUCCAUUUGACAAGGUCUUCUUGUGUUGCUCAGGUUGUCCCAGAAAUCACUAUGCAUUAGUGCAAACUGCAACUAGCUGCUACACUAAAAGGUUUCUGUCUUUUAACUGCUGCCAGUCUGGAGAUGAGGGCAUAGCACAUUUCUUUUAUUAUCAAACACCAUGGAUAUUCACAUUUCCUUGGUGAUUGUAUGUAUUUUUCAUGAAGACUGGCUAGAUGGUGUCUUCCUUUUUGAAAUGUGUGUACUCAAGACUGUCCCUUCUAUUUCUACAUAGAUAUAUUGCUUGUGGUGUGGAAACUUCUCCACAAAAACUGAAUAUAUCUAUAUCUCUCUAUAUAUAUAUAUCCCAUUUUUCUGUAACAUUUUGAUGAAAUUGAAUUCUAAUGUAGUCCAACAUUUAAUUCAUGUGUAUCCUAAGACAGGAAAUAGUGCUUUCUUCAAUGCCAUGAGUAAGUACUGUAUGCUAUAUUUAAUAGAGAAACUUUCACAUUCAGUUAUAUCUUCAUCCUACCUAAUAGUUGACUUUAUGUAAGUUUUUCACACACAUGCAAAAAUUCCCAGUUUAAUAAAAAUCAACCUGAC